CAGUUUAAUGACUUGGCGGUCAAUUGUUCAGUUUAGCUACUUAACGGUCAUUUGUUCAGUUUAAUGACUUGACGGUCUUUGUACAGUUGAAUGACUUGACGGUCAUUGUUCAGUUUAACGACUUGACGGUCAUUUGUUCAGUUUAACGACUUGACGAUCAUUUGUUCAGUUUAACGAUUUGACAGUUAUAUCUGAACUUAAUUUGUUCAGUUUAGUGACAUAACGGUCGAUUGAAGUUGAGAUACUUAGUUUAACGAUAUGGAGGUCGGCUUUGAGGUUGGAUUGUGUAGUUUAAAAACUUUGCGGUGAUAUGAAUUCGAGUUUAGUUUAACGACUUGAUGGUCGUUUGAUUCUGGAUUGUUUAGUUUAAUGAUUAUGCGGUCGUUUGAAUGUGGGUUUAGUUUAACGACUUAACGGUCGUUUGAUUCUAGGUUGUUACUUUAGUGACUUUGCGGUUAUUUGAAUUUGGGUUGUUUAGUUUAACGACUUUGCAGUCGUUUGGAUUUGAUGGGUUAGUAUAGCGACUCUGUCACGCCCCGGGCUGUAGCGAAAGCCCGCCGGGCGCGUGCACGGACCCGCCGUACACACCAAAAACCACAAUGUGCACAAGACAUUUACACAGUCAAAGAGAGCUGUAGAAAAAUCCAUCCUAGACAUGAUAAUCAGAGUGAGAAAAUACAACAGCUAGGUGUAAAAUUUGGAACUAAAACCUCAAGAUUACAGCCAUUCUCAUCAAGGAUUAAUUUGAAAACAUAGGAUCUACCUAAAGUACAAUUACAACACUAAGCCACUAAAUAAAUUGUGGGUCCAUCUAUCACAUGUUGUGAGGCUCUAGCUAGCAUAGUUAGUUAAUUCGGAUUCGACAAAAAUUCGGUACGGAUAUAAUAAGUACGGAUAUAAUACGCAUAAAAUUCGUUUUCUAAUUUUUAAAUUCGUUGAAAAAUGCGGCUUAAAAAACGGAUUCAGUAUAAAAUAUAAAAUAUAAGAUAUAAAAUAUAAGAUAAUUUAUAUUUAAAAAUAAAAAUUAUAAGUUUUUUAUUCAUAUUUUCAAUAAUUCGGGAAUAAUUCGUGAAUUAUUCGCGAAUAAUUCGUGAAUAAUUCGGCUGGCUCAAAAUGUAGUGUUCCUGAGGUUUUGAUAGGAUUGGCUAUAGUACUAGUGACUGGUCGACACAUCUGGAGAGUAUUGGACUAAGUUGGAGUCGAUUUUGCACGAAGUAGAUGCAGAAAUCGACUCAGCGCACUCAAAUAAGCAAAACUGGAGUUUUGCAAGAUUCGGGA
rnacentral:lncRNA from 1 species